rnacentral:rRNA from 1 species
GUAGGUGGCAAGCGUUGUCCGGAAUUAUUGGGCGUAAAGCGCGCGCAGGUGGUUCUUUAAGUCUGAUGUGAAAGCCCCCGGCUCAACCGGGGAGGGUCAUUGGAAACUGGGGAACUUGAGUGCAGGAGAGGAAAGUGGAAUUCCACGUGUAGCGGUGAAAUGCGUAGAUAUGUGGAGGAACACCAGUGGCGAAGGCGACUUUCUGGCCUGUAACUGACACUGAGGCGCGAAAGCGUGGGGAGCAAACAGGAUUAGAUACCCUGCUAGUCCACGCCGUAAACGAUGAGUGCUAAGUGUUGGGGGGGUUUCCCGCCCCGUCAGUGCUGCAGCUAACGCAUUAAGCACUCCGCCUGGGGAGUACGGUCGCAAGACUG